UCAAAGCCUUUUUGAAUUCAACUCUUGUU
rnacentral:piRNA from 1 species